AUAGUCCGGCAGAGAGCGGCCAGCGUUCACCGGAAGAAGACAUUGAGCGUCUAUCACUCCUUCUGUCAGCCCGAGCGAGUUGCAUGGUUUGACUGGAUUGGACUGCCAACGUUCUCGCCUCAACCCUUCCUUCACUCCACCCACACACCCGGUCUAGGGUGUAUUCCAGCGCUCCUGCCGACGAACUUUGUGUGGGAGAAGUACCUUCUUCCAUCAAUUGUAUUCUACGCGUCAAGACAACAUGAUGUUGAACAGCUGAAGACGCAAGCUAUUGAGCUUGGCUUCACUGGAGUUGAUAUGGGGGCAGGAUGUGUUGCAGCAAGAACAGUUUGAGAGAGAAGAGCGAGCUCGAGAGAAGAGCGCCAAGAAAGCGAAUUCGAGUUGGCAAAGCUUCGACUAGAGACAGAAUAGACUUCAACUGGCUCAACUCUAGGCGUCGUCUAAGCCGAUUAAAGUUGAAGGUGAGACUAUUGACCGUCCCCAUAUACUCCGUCCCCAUAUACUAACUUACAAGGAUGGUGAAGACAUCUAGGCAUCGUCUAAGCCGAUUAAAGUUGAAGGUGAGACUAUUGACCGUCCCCAUAUACUCUGUCCCCAUAUACUAACUUACAAGGAUGGUGAAGACAUCGCAUUCUUACUUAACCAACCUGAACUCCUGAAGCUUGAUAAGGACCUCUACACCGUGAGACUGGGUGCCUUGCUCUCUGGAAAAGCAGGUAAAGUUUAUUCCUCGCUUUGUCUCCAAAUAAUCAGUGAUUGUUCUUUUGAAAAAUGCCCUUCUGAGCAGUCUUGUAAGACUCCUGACGGCUUCAGACAAGACGUCAGAUCGAGCAAGAUCUAGCCCGGUGAAACCUACCAACAGUCCAGCGGAUUCCAGCAUCCGCCCUUCUGAGGAGUCUUGUAAGACUCCUGACGGCUCCAGACAAGACUUCAGAUCGAGCAAGAUCUAGCCCGGUGAAACCUACCAACAGUCCAGCAUCCACUACCUUCGUUUGUUUGUCAAGGAAUGGGGAAUAUCUCUUGAAGCUGUACAGCUGGCAGACGAUUGGGCUUCCGCUUGUAACGCAUAUCCAAAGACGUCCCACUCCAUGUCAAGUAACAAAAAGAUGCAGAAGCUGCACCCUUCAUCCUACCUCCACUGAAGUGUCUCAACUGCGGCGAAGGAGGACGACACCGGCCCCAGUGUCCUAAAAAUCCUCGCCCUUUUAAAAGGGACAGUACUUCAAUACUCACGGUGGGUUUGUUUGGGAGAUAAGGAAGUGUCCAAGUCUACCUACUGUGUUGUAAACGGUUCUUGGACCUCCACCAUUCUCAGCGACACUGGCUGUUCCAGUCUUCUAGUCUCCGAGGAAGCCCUACCUGACAUAGACACCACCAAUUGCAGACAGAUGUUGAACAGCUGAAGACGCAAGCUAUCGAGCUUGGCUUCACUGGAGUUGGUAUGGGGGCAGGAUGUGUUGCAGCAAGAACAGUUUGAGAGAGAAGAGCGAGCUCGAGAGAAGAGCGCCAAGAAAGCGAAUUCGAGUUGGCAAAGCUUCGACUAGAGACAGAAUAGACUUCAACUGGCUCAACUCUAGGCAUCGUCUAAGCCGAUUAAAGUUGAAGGUGAGACUAUUGACCGUCCCCAUAUACUAACUUACAAGGAUGGUGAAGACAUCGCAUUCUUACUUAACCAACCUGAACUCCUGAAGCUUGAUAAGGACCUCUACACCGUGAGACUGGGUGCCUUGCUCUCUGGAAAAGCAGGUAAAGUUUAUUCCUUGCUUUGUCUCCAAAUAAUCAGUGAUUGUUCUUUUGAAAAAUGCCCUUCUGAGGAGUCUUGUAAGACUCCUGACGGCUUCAGACAAGACGUCAGAUCGAGCAAGAUCUAGCCCGGUGAAACCUACCAACAGUCCAGCGGAUUCCAGCAUCCGCCCUUCUGAGGAGUCUUGUAAGACUCCUGACGGCUCCAGACAAGACUUCAGAUCGAGCAAGAUCUAGCCCGGUGAAACCUACCAACAGUCCAGCAUCCACUACCUUCGUUUGUUUGUCAAGGAAUGAGGAAUAUCUCUCGAAGCUGUACAGCUGGCAGACGAUUGGGCUUCCGCUUGUAACGCAUAUCCAAAGACGUCCCACUCCAUGUCAAGUAACAAAAAGAUGCAGAAGCUGCACCCUUCAUCCUACCUCCACUGAAGUGUCUCAACUGCGGCGAAGGAGGACACCUCCGGCCCCAGUGUCCUAAAAAUCCUUGCCCUUUUAAAAGGGACAGUACUUCAAUACACACGGUGGGUUUGUUUGGGAGAUAAGGAAGUGUCCAAGUCUACCUACUGUGUUGUAAACGGUUCUUGGACCUCCACCAUUCUCAGCGACACUGGCUGUUCCAGUCUUCUAGUCUCCGAGGAAGCCCUACCUGACAUAGACACCACCAAUUGCAGACAGAUGUUGAACAGCUGAAGACGCAAGCUAUCGAGCUUGGCUUCACUGGAGUUGAUAUGGGGGCAGGAUGUGUUGCAGCAAGAACAGUUUGAGAGAGAAGAGCGAGAUCGAGAGAAGAGCGCCAAGAAAGCGAAUUCGAGUUGGCAAAGCUUCGACUAGAGACAGAAUAGACUUCAACUGGCUCAACUCUAGGCAUCGUCUAAGCCGAUUAAAGUUGAAGACCUUCGUUUGUUUGUCAAGGAAUGAGGAAUAUCUCUUGAAGCUGUACAGCUGGCAGACGAUUUGGCUUCCGAUUGUAACGCAUAUCCGAAGACGUCCCACUCCAUGUCAAGUAACAAAAAGAUGCAGAAGCUGCACCUUUCAUCCUACCUCCACUGAAGUGUCUCAACUGCAGCGAAGGAGGACACCUCCGGCCCCAGUGUCCUAAAAAUCCUUGCCCUUUUAAAAGGGACAGUACUUCAAUACUCACGGUGGGUUUGUUUGGGAGAUAAGGAAGUGUCCAAGUCUACCUACUGUGUUGUAAACGGUUCUUGGACCUCCACCAUUCUCAGCGACACUGGCUGUUCCAGUCUUCUAGUCUCCGAGGAAGCCCUACCUGACAUAGACACCACCAAUUGCAGACAGGUAACCGUUUAUGACUACCUAGGCCGCGCUGACCAGUUCCCUGUAGUUAAAUGUUACUUGAAGUGUCCUUACUAUGAUGGUUGGGCAAAUGUUGUUCGAGCCCCAAUCUAGUUUGCAACAGUUCUGCUUGGUGACAUUACGGGAACCCGUAAACCUGACGAUCCUGCCUACCCUUUCCCUGCUCACGUGACUCCGUCUCCCACUCACAAGGGAAUGGUGCUGCAGCUGCCCCGACUCGACCUGACGUCGUGUUGCAACCCAUGGCCGAGUGUGUAGGUGCUGUACAAACUUGUGCUGGCUCUGGAGGCAUGGAACACCUUCACCCUCUUGUUCUUCCCAGCUUGGAACCUCUUAAGUGACUAUCGGAUUUUCCUCAUUUACAGGAAACGUGUCCCUCACUAGCUACUGUCCUACUAUAUCGUGAGUGUUUCCUCUACACAUCCAAAAGAGCUUGGGAAACGCGUGCUGGCUGUCCCUUCCGACUGUUGAGGUGUUGUACUCCAGGUGGCCCAUGAGUCCCCUUGCCGGUCAUUUCUCUCGCAGGAAAACUGAGGGUAAGAUAAGUGAACACUUCUUCUAGUCUGCCAUGGCCUCAGACAUCCGAGACUACUGCCGCUCCUACGACAUCUGCCAACGUAAGUCAUCAAGGGGGUGGGUCAAGCCUGUUCCUCUCCAACCCUUGCCUGUGGUGACAGACCUUUUCUUGGGUGGCGGUGGAUGUCAUUGGGCCACUUUCACCUUCUUCCGAAGGCCACAAGUACAUACUGACUCUUAUCGACUUUGGCCACAGGAUUUCCUGAAGUGAUUCCUCUGAAGGACGUGGAUUCCAUCUCUGUUGCUGAGGCACUAUUCUCCAUCUUCUCCAGAGUUGGAAUUCCUCUUGAGAUCCUCAGCGAUAGAGGAACUCGGUUCAUACAGCAACUGAUGGUCCAGCUCCACAAACUUAUUGACAUGAAGCCACAGUCACUAUCCCGUACCAUCACGCUGGGAACGGACGGGUAGAAAGGUUGCAUCGUCCCCUCAAAGCCGUCCUUCAGAAGCUUUGCCAUGAAAAACCCUGAGAGUGGCAUUGGUACCUUACUCCUGCGCUUUUCGCUCUCCAGAAACUACCUAGUGAUCGUACCGGCUUCUCUGCCUUCGACCUCCUCUAUGCCCAGGUUGUGUGGGGACCCCUUUCGGUUUUAAAGGAUUUGUGGGAGGACAAGCUUUUGGAGGAGAACGACCGGACCAGUCUACAGUACGUCAUCGAGCUGCGGGAUAAACUUCAAGACUGUGCUCAGCUCGCUGCCCAAGAAGCUGAUAUGUUUCUUCAGUAACGCCUGGCUGCACCGCCGCUCUCCAGCACGACAUCGUCUUAACCUGCGCCAGUAGGAUUUAAGAGAAACUUGCCCUGUGCUGAUUCACCUUCGCCCUUUCUUCGAGCGUGAAGUUGAUGAACUCCUCCAGCUGGGUGUCAUCCAACCAUCUUGCUCACCACACUGUUCUCCGGUAGUGAUGAGGAUUGAUGGAAUCCUGUCGUCUCCCCUUCUGUCUCGUCACUGCGUGUUCUGCCUGAGGAGGAUUGUCUUGGCUAACCUCCAAGUGUGACUUUCUACUUCGACAAUGUCUUCAUCUACUCUACAGAUUGGCCCAGCUACCUCGCCGCUAUAACCUCUGUUCUGGAGCGACUCCACUUGCACAAGCUCACUGCUAAACCCACCAAGUGUCUUCGGGUUCUCUUCUCUCCAGUACUUGGGGUUCCAUCUUGACGGAGUAUACCUACGUCCCCAGGAAGACAAGUCUAAGGCCCUCGUGCAGGUGUGAUGCUUCCAACUACGGACUGGGGGCUGUCCUUUUACAGUAUGACAACGGGACCCCUCAUCCAGUGUCCUAUGCCAGUUGUAAACUGCUCGACCGUGAACGGAUGUAUGCGACUACGGAGAAGGAAGCCCUUGCCAUCGUAUUUGGAGUGAAUUAGUUUUGACUACUAUCUCAAAGGGAAGGAGUUCCUGCUGGAGACAGACAACAAGCCCGUCGUGUAUCUUCAGUCUUCAAAGUGCUCCAAUGGCCGACUAAUGUGGGCUCUAGAACUACAAAAUUAUCCAUAUCGGGUAUUUCACAUUGCUGGACGCGACAACGUGGGAGCUGAUCUGCUGAUUCACUGUCCCACGGAGUAAACUCUUGUUCUCCACUUCAUGCAUUUUUGGGUACUGGGAAUUUCGGAUUUAAUUUACUUGCAGUAGAUUUUAAAAAGGGGGAUAUGUAAGGGCUGAAAUACCUAACUACCCUUGUUAUGUCUAAAACACAUUAUUGUACAUGCUUGCUCUCUCACACUCCCUUUUGCAUUAACAGGUAAAGGUAAUUACCAGCCCCUUCUACACUAUUACCGUUGUCUUUUUUCGAAACAGUAGUUCGAAGCUCGACUUUGGUUUAGACCGUCGGCCACGUUCUCGCCUCCCCCCCCCCCCCUACUUGUCAGUACCUCCCUCCUACGGGUCUAUACGAGUCAACGUCUGCCACCACUCCUGAUAGUCCGGCAGAGAGCGGCCAGCCUUCACCUGAAGACCUUGAGCGUCUAUCACUCCCUCUCUCAGCCCGAGUGAGUUGCAUGGAUUGGGCAGCCAGCGCUCUCGCCUCAACCCUUCCUUCACCCCACGCACACCCCCGGUCUAAGGUGUAUUCACGAGGGAAGUUUCAAGACAUCUAUCACUUUCCUUUGGCUGACUCUUGGACAUGCACGGGAACUGGCAUCCCAACUGGGCUUUUCUGUUACUUUCAUUUGUCCUUGGCCAGCUUUCCUCUCUUACAUAAAAAAAAAAAAAUGGCAUAUGCUGCAGUGUAUAGCGACUGUAAAUGAAGUGUUUUUUUACUA